GAUGAAGAACGCAGCGAAAUGCGAUAAGUAAUGCGAAUUGCAGAAUUCAGUGAGUCAUCGAAUCUUUGAACGCACAUUGCGCCCUGUGGUAUUCCGCAGGGCAUGCCUGUUCGAGCGUCAUUUCAACCCUCAAGCUGUGCUUGGUGUUGGGCCCUGCCCGCUGCGGCCGGCCCUAAAGACAGUGGCGGUGCCGCCUGGCCCUGAGCGUAGUACAUCUCUCGCUCCAGUGCCCGGUGGUAGCCUGCCAGAACCCCAACUCUCGUGGUUGACCUCGGAUCAGGUAGGGAUACCCGCUGAACUUAAGCAUAUCAAUAAGCGGAGGA
rnacentral:misc_RNA from 1 species